rnacentral:rRNA from 1 species
GACGAACGCUGGCGGCGUGCUUAAUACAUGCAAGUCGAACGGAAAGGCCCUGCUUUUGUGGGGUGCUCGAGUGGCGAACGGGUGAGUAACACGUGAGUAACCUGCCCUUGACUUUGGGAUAACUUCAGGAAACUGGGGCUAAUACCGGAUAGGAGCUCCUGCUGCAUGUUGGGGGUUGGAAAGUUUCGGCGGUUGGGGAUGGACUCGCGGCUUAUCAGCUUGUUGGUGGGGUAGUGGCUUACCAAGGCUUUGACGGGUAGCCGGCCUGAGAGGGUGACCGGCCACAUUGGGACUGAGAUACGGCCCAGACUCCUACGGGAGGCAGCAGUGGGGAAUAUUGCACAAUGGGCGGAAGCCUGAGGCAGCAACGCCGCGUGCGGGAUGACGGCCUUCGGGUUGUAAACCGCUUUCGCCUGUGACGAAGCGUGAGUGACGGUAAUGGGUAAAGAAGCACCGGCUAACUACGUG